UUCUACGUUCAUUUAAAAGAAAAAUAACACAUCAGUAUUGCAGUUACUAAACAGAUAAAUCAGUUUCAACAAAAUGGAGACCCAACAGAUGAGAAAAGAAAAAAA